AGCAAAGUUUGAUGUACUCAAGGUGCGAGCCUUUGUUGUGCCUUCUUCAUUCACACUUGUCACCUCUACAAAUCACACCUCAAGAUAAAAUCAGAAGAAUGAGAGUACAGGCCAUUGGCAGCACUGAUGUCAGGUUGCUGCCCACAUUUGUGUAUCAAACAGCAAAUACAAUGCAAGAGUUGUUCAGUGCUUAGGGAAAGCAAGCCAGAGCACAUCAGCAUGAGGUAGUAGCAUUAAAAGAGGGGAGCACAAACUAACAUCAGUGUAUUCUUAAUCCAUAGUUAUCCCAGAUUUGGAUUAAACUGCCUUCUGGAGGGGUUUUAGGGCCCUUUUCAUACUGAAGGGUUUCCCUUUGGCUGUAGCAUUUCUCUUUCUGAUGGGUUUAUAUUUUAACAAAGGCUGGGAGAAACUUUUAUGCCAAGUGCAUCACUGGAGCUGCUGCUGAGCCCAAAGCACAGUUAAAACAAAGAAAUGUGUUGCUUUUUAAUUCUUUAAAUUCCAUUGCUAAUUAUAGUAGUGUGUAAUCGUGUGUGUUGUUACUGCUGACACUAUCCACCCCUUCUGAAUUCCUUUCACUAUAUUCCUUUUUGAUUGAAAUAAUAAAGCACUGUCAGCAAUGCUAAAUGACACUGUUUGCAUUUUAUGUAUAUAUAAUCCUCAUGCAGCAAUGGGUGGGUUCAUUGCACUCAACCUAAUAUGAAAACAUGUUCUCAUGUUAUUCUUCAUGCUUUUGUAAUUUUAUAGUUUAUAUGUAACACAGAAAUCUGGAAUUUGCUUCUAAGUUAAGAGUUUCUUUCCUUUAAAUCAUUUUCAGCCAUAUGUAUUAGUUUGUUACUGCAAAAUCACCAGAAGCUCUUGAAAGUUCUGCUCCUACAGCAGAAAUCUGCUGCUCAAGCUGCUCUAAAGCAAUAGGGAAAUAGAGCGUCUGCCCCAAGGAUGCUGCGGCAGUGCAGCCACAGCUGUAAUGGUACAAGUAUCUUUAGUUGAUGCGGGAAAAUCAGAGGAUGGUGUUACUCAUGUCAUUGCCAUUAUAGAGGUGGGACAUGGGAAAAGCAAUGUAGGAACUGCAACCUGUGGCUGCUGUGAAGGAAAUGUAUCUGCAGCUCCUGACCCUGUGAUCGUGCCAUGUCUCACUGACAUCACAUCUCACUGCUCUGGCAGGUGCACCGUGAGCUGAGCUGGCUGGAACACUGAGCUGCUGCUCUCUGGAAGGAUGAUGGACUUUGCAGCUGAAGCUAUGAACAAGCCAACAGAUUUAUAACAUAGGGGCCAAGCAAAUGCACAGAAGACAGAGUGGGGAGAAGUGCUCGCUGUACUCCUGGGAUGCCACCAGCCCUGUGGAAUCUCAGCACUGAAAACUGCUUCCUCUUGUUCUGUGUCAGUGGCUGUCACGUGCAGCCAAACUGGGCUCACUUCAGUGCUAGAACUGAUAGUGCACAUCUGGUGAGUGGAGACAGCAUCGACCUGCUCUGAGCUGCUGCGAGGGAGCUGUUUGAUGCUGGCUCUUCCCUGGAGCGUGGGGAGCCCUGAACUGCAAUUGGUGACCGCUGACAAUAGAGGGAAUGGGAGGGCACAAGCUGGACACCAUGGGGAUGGGCAGAUCCCUGCAGAGCACCACAACAGAGCUGGAAAGGUGACCUUGAAGCCUGGCCUGGAGUCCUGCAAGGACGAGGCUGCUUUUAAAGGGCAUGUUGGAGAUAAAGAGCUUAGAAAGGAAGGGUUUGCUAUAAUGUCAAUCAGAUCAUUAAAUGGGGUUGUGUUUUAGGUUGAAGAAGUGUUGAAAAAUCACACUGUUCACAGUAGGACAUAAAUGCACAGAGUACAAACCAUCAGGACAAUGUGCUGGUCCUCCCUUCAUUUAUUCCAGUUUUGUAUCACAGGCUUAAAAGCAGUUACCACCAAUUUAUUAUUUUUAUUAUUUUUAGUUAUUCUGGUGAGAACAAAUCUGGUGAUUUUAAUGUCAGAGUUCUUUCUGGUAGUUAUCUUCAUUUCCAAAACAAACCCUGGUUUACAUGUUAGAAGCACUUUGUCCUGCUUGGUUUUACCUGUGAUUUUGUCACCGGCUGUUUCAUUGCUAUUGGUGGGAGAUUCAAGAGAUGCUGGUGUUUUUUGCUCCUGAGCAUCAUUACCGAGUGUUCCUGCAUUUCAUUCCAGCAGAUUUCCCCCCCAGGCAAAAUGAAUCCGGUCAGGUUUUGUCCCUGUAGCAGCUGGCAUUUCAGGUGUCUGGGUUGUGCUGCUCCCAUGGGCUCUCAUGCAGUACAUGGGACCCUGCAGAACAGAGGGUUACAAAAGGGAGAUUCACCUCAUGUAACUCUGGAGUUGGGUUUUGUUAUUUGCUGGAUUUCCCAUUUCCAUUGUACACUCCAUGGCUCAGAUCCUCCGUUUCCCUGCACCUCCUUCACUGCUUUUAUGCUUAUUCUGGCUGGUUGUGCUGACACCCUGUAACUUUUCUCACCCUUUGGAGAACCAGAUCUUCUUGCCUCUAACCCUACAAAGGAGAACAUCAGUUUAUCUUGGGUUUCUGUGCUUUGAUACUUGGAGAUUUUAGGGGAUAAAGAAUACAAGUUUCCCUUUCUCCUCUCCUAACUCAACAGUGCAUCUUGACAUAUCUUGAUCUGGGGCAUUUGGUGUAGCUCUGACUCUGGACCCAUUUUGAUCAGAUGGAGUCCAACUGGCAUUGAAGAUCUCAAGGUAUCUGUUGUGUGCAUCCCAAGCCCUC